rnacentral:rRNA from 1 species
AGAACGAACGCUGGCGGCAUGCCUAAUACAUGCAAGUCGAACGAACACUUCGGUGUUAGUGGCGCACGGGUGCGUAACGCGUGGGAAUCUGCCCUUGGGUUCGGAAUAACAGUUGGAAACGACUGCUAAUACCGGAUGAUAUCGAAAGAUCAAAGAUUUAUCGCCCAGGGAUGAGCCCGCGUAGGAUUAGCUAGUUGGUGAGGUAAAGGCUCACCAAGGCGACGAUCCUUAGCUGGUCUGAGAGGAUGAUCAGCCACACUGGGACUGAGACACGGCCCAGACUCCUACGGGAGGCAGCAGUAGGGAAUAUUGGACAAUGGGCGCAAGCCUGAUCCAGCAAUGCCGCGUGAGUGAUGAAGGCCUUAGGGUGUAAAGCUCUUUACCCGAGAUGAUAAUGACAGUAUCGGAGAAUAAGCCCCGGACUAACUCCGUGUCAGCAGCCGC